rnacentral:tRNA from 1 species
GGAUAGAUGGCCGAGUGGCUGAAGGCGCGCCCCUGCUAAGGGCGUAUUGGAGAAAUCCAAUCGAGGGUUCGAAUCCCUCUCUGUCCGCCA